AAUCAACGCUGGCGGCGUGCCUCAGACAUGCAAGUCGAACGCGAAACUUCCCUUCGGGGAGAAAGUAGAGUGGCGCACGGGUGAGUAACACGUAGGUAAUUUGCCUUUGGGUGGGGAAUAACUCAGGGAAACUUGAGCUAAUACCGCAUAAUGCAGCGGCUCGACAUCGAGACAGUUGUUAAAGCGGGGAUCGCAAGACCUCGCGCCUAAAGAGAAGCCUGCGGCAGAUUAGCUAGUUGGUAAGGUAAUGGCUUACCAAGGCGACGAUCUGUAACCGGCCUGAGAGGGCGGUCGGUCACACUGACACUGACAUACGGGUCAGACUCCUACGGGAGGCAGCAGUC
rnacentral:rRNA from 1 species